UACGGAGGGGGCAAGCGUUGUUCGGAGUUACUGGGCGUAAAGCGCGCGUAGGCGGUGCGGUAAGUCAGGGGUUAAAGGCUGCAGCUCAACUGCAGUAAGGCCUUUGAUACUAUCGUGCUAGAGUGUCAGAGAGGAUGGCGGAAUUCCCGGUGUAGGGGUGAAAUGCGUAGAUAUAUGGAGGAACACCAGUAGCGAAGGCGGCCAUCUGGCUGAUAACUGACGCUGAGGUGCGAGAGCGUGGGGAGCAAACAGG
rnacentral:rRNA from 1 species